GACGAACGCUGGCGGCGUGCUUAACACAUGCAAGUCGAACGGAAAGGCCCUGCUUUUGUGGGGUGCUCGAGUGGCGAACGGGUGAGUAACACGUGAGUAACCUGCCCUUGACUUUGGGAUAACUUCAGGAAACUGGGGCUAAUACCGGAUAGGAGCUCCUGCGGCAUGGUGGGGGUUGGAAAGUUUCGGCGGUUGGGGAUGGACUCGCGGCUUAUCAGCUUGUUGGUGGGGUAGUGGCUUACCAAGGCUUUGACGGGUAGCCGGCCUGAGAGGGUGACCGGCCACAUUGGGCCUGAGAUACGGCCCAGACUCCUACGGGAGGCAGCAGUGGGGAAUAUUGCACAAUGGGCGGAAGCCUGAUGCAGCAACGCCGCGUGCGGGAUGUCGGCCUUCGGGUUGUAAACCGCUUUCGCCUGUGACGAAGCGUGAGUGACGGUAAUGGGUAAAGAAGCACCGGCUAACUACGUG
rnacentral:rRNA from 1 species